rnacentral:rRNA from 1 species
UACGUAGGAGGCGAGCGUUGUCCGGAAUUACUGGGCGUAAAGGGCGCGUAGGCGGCACUGUUAGUCAGGCGUGAAAGUCCUGGGCUCAACCUGGGAACUGCGCUUGAUACGGCAGAGCUAGAGGAUGGAAGAGGCUCGCGGAAUUCCCAGUGUAGAGGUGAAAUUCGUAGAUAUUGGGAAGAACACCGGUGGCGAAGGCGGCGAGCUGGUCCGAUUACUGACGCUGAGGCGCGACAGCGUGGGGAGCAAACAGG